rnacentral:rRNA from 1 species
CAGCCGCCGCGGUAAUACGUAGGGUGCGAGCGUUAAUCGGAAUUAUUGGGCGUAAAGCGUGCGCAGGCGGUUGUGUAAGACAGGUGUGAAAUCCCCGGGCUUAACCUGGGAACUGCGCUUGUGACUGCACAGCUAGAGUAUGGCAGAGGGGGGGUGGAAUUCCACGUGUAGCAGUGAAAUGCGUAGAGAUGUGGAGGAACACCGAUGGCGAAGGCAGCCCCCUGGGCCAAUACUGACGCUCAAGCACGAAAGCGUGGGGAGCAAACAGGAUUAGAUACCCCCGUAGUCCCUGUCUCUUAUA